CCGAAAUUCAAAUAUUUUUGAUAUUGAUUUCUAAUUUACUUGUUCUAUUUUGUAUGUAGCAUUGGUGUGGACUGGAUCGCAAAAAGGAUCUUCUUCUACAGCUAAGGAAAACAACUAAAGAAGCGUAACUAAAAGAUAAGGAAAAACUCUUUCGAUUCGUGCUUAUACAUCCAGUCUGAUGAAUUAAAAACACUGAUAUUUUGUUUUUGUUUGGUCAGUCUAUAAUUUCUUUGAGUUAGACGAUCAUUGGACUCGGCAAUUGGAUUGAAGGAGGUGUUAGUGAAUACUGGUGUAUUCACUAUUAAUUGCUUUGCAUAAAGUUUUCAAAUGAAAGGUAAGAAAGCAAAAAAAUUUUAGUUGAACACUUACUAUAAUGUUCAUUUUCUUUUAACAAAACUAAUGUUCCAUUUUUUUUGUUUUGUGCGAGUAAAACUGGUGUUGGCCUAAGUUUCAACAAUCACAACAAAAUGGGACGUGUAGUAAAGAGGAAACCUAACCUCACUCACGGAAAACAAAUAAAGAAGCCUAAAAGGAAGAUAAGAAAACAAAACUCUUUCUAAUUCUGUCUAUACACUCUUCGUUAUCUGGUUUUUGGUCAUUAUUGAUGUUUUUGUAUCGUCUGGACAGGGUUAAAUUCUUCGAAUUAGACACUCAUUGAACACACCAAUUGGAUGGAAGAAGGACUCUGAACAUAUUGGUGUAUUGAAUACCUUUUGCUUUGCAAAUGGUUUUUAACUCUGGUCUUGCGUAAGUUUAAACAACUUGGUAGUUUUGGAGGUGGAGAUCAGUACCAAGCACUACACAAUCCUGGAACAUCUUCAACACCAUUUUCGCCUUCUGAGUCUUCUGAAUAACCAUCGUCCGAACUGCUACUGCAUUGCUGGAAUCGGAAUAGCAUUUGGUUUAGGUCUAGCAAGGAAUUUUGCAAGACGAAACUGUGAUUUUGGUCUAGUGGAGUAUCUUCCGCAAUUUGUGAAUGGUUGGGCAAGGUAAUAUCAUGAGGAAGGAAGUCAUUGCAGAUUCAAGCUUCCCAUCUUUGAUACUUUGGUGUGUGGCUAUACGUUUUGCUGCUGCCGCAUGUUUGUUACGGUUGGGACUGCCAAGCAGAGUGGAAGCUAAGCACAUGUGGGUGAUUCGGGUGAAGAUGAGAAAAUUUUUUUGCAUUAUCAGGUUUAUGAGUUCUUCACAAAGGUUUUGGUACAUUCAGCCUGAUUUUUUUUUCCCAACAGGCCUUGAGGUCCGAAACAUUUGUGAAUCCAUUCAUGGCAGCCAUGAGUUAAUCGAAGGUAUAUGAGGAAUAAUAUGUUUGGAUUCAGUUGUAGCUUAAACCGGAUCCGAAUGACCUAAUGCCAAACACUAAUGAUCCGCGUCCGUUUGCACUUUUAAUUUACCUACUUGCCCUUAAAUUUUUUUUUUCUUUCUUCUUCCUUGUUUUCUGCCGUAGGGGUAUUAUAUGGCAUUUUUUGCCAAAAGUUUUUUUUUUUUCUGUUUUGUACUCCCCAAUUAAUAGUAUAGAUGCUUUCUUGGUUUUA